rnacentral:rRNA from 1 species
CCUACGGGGAGCAGCAGUGGGGAAUAUUGGGCAAUGGACGCAAGCCUGACCCAGCAACGCCGCGUGAAGGAAGAAGGCUUUCGGGUUUUAAACUUGUUUUUUCAGGGACGAAACAAGUGACGGUACCUGACGAAUAAACCACGGCUAACUACGUGCCAGCAGCCGCGGUAAUACGUAGGUGGCAAGCGUUAUCCGGAUUUACUGGGUGUAAAGGGCGUGUAGGCGGUACUGCAAGUCAGAUGUGAAAACCAGGGGCUCAACCUGUGGAUUGCAUUUGAAACUGUAGUUCUUGAGUAUAGGAGCGGUAGACGGAAUGUAUGGUGUAGCGGUGAAAUGCGUAGAGAUCAGGCGGAACACCAGUGGCGAAGGCGGUCUGCUAGACAGCAACUGACGCUGAGGCGCGAAAGCGUGGGGAGCAAACAGGAUUAGAUACCCGAGUAGUC